rnacentral:rRNA from 1 species
AUUGAACGCUGGCGGCAUGCCUUACACAUGCAAGUCGAACGGCAGCACGGGGCAACCUGGUGGCGAGUGGCGAACGGGUGAGUAAUGCAUCGGAACGUACCUUUCAGUGGGGGAUAACGUAGCGAAAGUUACGCUAAUACCGCAUCUUCUGUGAGCAGGAAAGCAGGGGAUCGCAAGACCUUGCGCUGAUUGAGCGGCCGAUGUCAGAUUAGCUAGUUGGUGAGGUAAAGGCUCACCAAGGCGACGAUCUGUAGCGGGUCUGAGAGGAUGAUCCGCCACACUGGAACUGAGACACGGUCCAGACUCCUACGGGAGGCAGCAGUGGGGAAUUUUGGACAAUGGGGGCAACCCUGAUCCAGCCAUACCGCGUGAGUGAAGAAGGCCUUCGGGUUGUAAAGCUCUUUCGGCCGGGAAGAAAUCGCACGGGCUAAUACCCUGUGUGGAUGACGGUACCGGAAUAAGAAGCACCGGCUAACUACGUGCCAGCCGCCGCGGUAAAAC